CAUAAAAACACACAAAAACAACAAAUGGAACAUUGUCCUUGCUCGAUGUAGAAACAGGUGAACAGUUUUGGAACACUGAGCCAUUGACUGCCUGCCUGCACCAGGUGGCUGUGUUGAGAGUGGGUCGCUUUUGACAAUAAGGCACCGGACUACAGCCAUAUAGUUUUGAACCUAGAAGAAGGCCAAGAGACGGGAGUAUGCAAAAAUAUUGACCGGGAUGGGCAAGGGGAAUGUCCAGUUGGCUAGAAAAACAUAGUUUGUCAUUUGAUUUCUUGGAGCCUGGGGGAGAUACCAUACUACAAGUCAGGAUAUUUCUCUGCAUCCGGGUGGAGGCUUGCUACCAGCAAGAACAUGGAACACUCUGUGUCCGUGCUAGAGACAGAAUGGUCCUGGGACCUACAGAGCCUUCUGACCAACUACAUGCAAUCUCUCCAGAGCACAGACAAGUGAGUCUGCUGGGCCAUGGAACACUUAAAAAACCAGCCACCCUGUUGUCAGCUAUAUGCUGACAGUUCCCAGAGGAAGGAGACAACUAUCAAGGCUUUCAAAGGCCACGUUUUUUGGAUGACUAAAUGGAGUAACGUUUUUAUAAACUCAUUUCAAUUGUAUUGUUAGAUUACAAAACAAUAACUUUCAUAGAAUGUUUGUCAUGUAGGUCUUCACACUAACUUUGACUAACUUCUGUGGUAACUUAAACACAAAGACAACACUUGGAGCUUGCGAUUCAAAAGGUCUAAAUUAAAUGCAUGUCCAGGGUGAA